rnacentral:rRNA from 1 species
GACGAACGCUGGCGGCGCGCCUAACACAUGCAAGUCGAACGGAGUCAAGAGGAGCUUGCUUUUCUUGACUUAGUGGCGAACGGGUGAGUAACGCGUGAGUAACCUGCCCUGGAGUGGGGGACAACAGUUGGAAACGACUGCUAAUACCGCAUAAGCCCACGGAUCUGCAUGGAUCUGCGGGAAAAGGAUUUAUUCGCUCUAGGAUGGACUCGCGUCCAAUUAGCUAGUUGGUGAGGUAACGGCCCACCAAGGCGACGAUUGGUAGCCGGACUGAGAGGUUGAACGGCCACAUUGGGACUGAGACACGGCCCAGACUCCUACGGGAGGCAGCAGUGGGGGAUAUUGCACAAUGGGGGAAACCCUGAUGCAGCGACGCCGCGUGGAGGAAGAAGGUUUUCGGAUUGUAAACUCCUGUCGUUAGGGACGAUAAUGACGGUACCUAACAAGAAGGCACCAGCUAACUACGUG